GCAGCUGAGGAGACUCCCGGUGCUCUCCAUGGCCGAUGAGAAACCCAAGGAAGGAGUCAAGACUGAGAACAACGAUCAUAUUAACCUGAAGGUGGCGGGACAGGAUGGUUCUGUGGUGCAGUUUAAGAUUAAGAGGCACCCACCGCUUAGUAAACUAAUGCAAGCCUAUUGUGAACGGCAGGGUUUGUCAAUGAGGCAGAUCAGAUUCCGGUUUGAUGGGCAGCCAAUCAACGAAACAGGCACACCUGCCCAGUUGGAAAUGGAGGAUGAAGAUACGAUGGAUGUGUUCCAGCAGCAGACUGGAGGUGUCUUCUAAAAAGGGAGCCUGCUACUU